rnacentral:rRNA from 1 species
AUUGAACGCUGGCGGCAGGCUUAACACAUGCAAGUCGAGCGGGGAAAAGUAGCUUGCUACUGACCUAGCGGCGGACGGGGGAGUAAUGCUUAGGAAUCUGCCUAUUAGUGGGGGACAACAUUCCGAAAGGGAUGCUAAUACCGCAUACGCCCUACGGGGGAAAGCAGGGGAUCUUCGGACCUUGCGCUAAGAGAUGAGCCUAAGUCGGAUUAGCUAGUUGGUGGGGUAAAGGCCUACCAAGGCGACGAUCUGUAGCGGGUCUGAGAGGAUGAUCCGCCACACUGGGACUGAGACACGGCCCAGACUCCUACGGGAGGCAGCAGUGGGGAAUAUUGGACAAUGGGGGGAACCCUGAUCCAGCCAUGCCGCGUGUGUGAAGAAGGCCUUUUGGUUGUAAAGCACUUUAAGCGAGGAGGAGGCUACCGAGAUUAAUACUCUUGGAUAGUGGACGUUACUCGCAGAAUAAGCACCGGCUAACUCUGUGCCAGCAGCCGCCGUAAUAC